rfam:Helianthus annuus linkage group 1, whole genome shotgun sequence.
GUCCCUUCGGGGACAUCCGAUAAAAUUGGAACGAUACAGAGAAGAUUAGCAUGGCCCCUGCGCAAGUAUGACGCACAAAUCGAGAAAUGGUCCAAAUUUUU